rnacentral:rRNA from 1 species
CAGUCGCCGCGGUAAUACGUAGGGUGCGAGCGUUAAUCGGAAUUACUGGGCGUAAAGCGUGCGCAGGCGGUUAUAUAAGACAGAUGUGAAAUCCCCGGGCUCAACCUGGGACCUGCAUUUGUGACUGUAUAGCUAGAGUACGGUAGAGGGGGAUGGAAUUCCGCGUGUAGCAGUGAAAUGCGUAGAUAUGCGGAGGAAUACCGAUGGCAAAGGCAGCCCCCUGGGAUAACACUGACGCUCAUGCACGAAAGCGCGGGGAGCAAACAGGAUUAGAUACCCCUGUAGUCCCUGUCUCUUAUAC